UAACACGUAGGAGGCGAGCGUUAUCCGGAUUUACUGGGUGUAAAGCGCGUGCAGGCGGUUUGAUAAGUUGGAUGUGAAAGCUCCCGGCUCAACUGGGAGAGGUCGUUCAAAACUAUCAGACUAGAGAGUGAGAGAGGAAGAUGGAAUUCCCGGUGUAGUGGUGAAAUGCGUAGAUAUCGGGAGGAACACCAGUGGCGAAGGCGGUCUUCUGGCUCAUUUCUGACGCUAAGACGCGAAAGCUAGGGUAGCAAACGGGAUUAGAGACCCCGGUAGUCCUAGCCGUAAACGAUGUGAACUUGGCGUCGGUGGUGUAAAAACCAUCGGUGCCGUAGCUAACGCGAUAAGUUCACCACCUGGGAACUACGGCCGCAAGGUUA
rnacentral:rRNA from 1 species